UACGUAGGGAGCGAGCGUUGUCCGGAAUUACUGGGCGUAAAGGGCGCGUAGGCGGUCAUGUAAGUCAGAUGUGAAAACCCGGGGCUCAACCCCGGCCUUGCAUUUGAAACUGCAUGACUUGAGGAUGAGAGAGGAAAGUGGAAUUCCUAGUGUAGCGGUGAAAUGCGUAGAUAUUAGGAGGAACACCAGUGGCGAAGGCGACUUUCUGGCUCAUACCUGACGCUGAGGCGCGAAAGCGUGGGUAGCAAACAGGAUUAGAUACCCUGGUAGUCCACGCCGUAAACGAUGAGCACUAGGUGUAGGAGGUAUCGACCCCUUCUGUGCCGCAGCUAACGCAUUAAGUGCUCCGCCUGGGGAGUACGAUCGCAAGAUUGAA
rnacentral:rRNA from 1 species